UCUGGGAUAGCUCAGUCAGUAGAGCACGAGACUCUUAAUCUCAGGGCUGUGGGUUCGAGCCCAAGACUGGGCAGAA